UCGACACCCAGGGGGUGCUGGUACAGUCUAUGUGGCUUGAACUGCGGUCAAACUGCUCUUUAGUGUUCCUCUGUACCUCAGUCCUUCCCUCCUAACACUCGAGCUAGCAGAGUCAGGAUACCUUAAAGCUCAGGGUAUGUGCCACAGCCCUGAAACCACAGAGCUACUCCAGCUCAGUUUUCUGGCUCACUUGUACUCACCAGAUCCUCAGUGUGCCUCUUCCAGCUGUGUGGCAGACCCCACCAGCUGUGUUAACACUUCAUGAUGUUUUCAGAAGCUCCCAGUUCCAGGGCUGAGGAGUCCUGAGAGAGUGAGAGAGAUGGAAACUUCUACAAUAGGAUCUUUUCGGAUGUGUCAAGUCGAUACUGCAGCUCUCUUGACCUUCCCUUCCAUUUUCUGGGCAGGCAACAGCAUCGUAUCUGUUUGUCCUCAUGAGGAACAAGGCAAGAUAAAGAAGAUGCAGGUAAGCAGUUAUCACAUUCUGCUGGAAGGGACCACAUACUUCCAGAAAAUAGAUCUAGAGUAUAUGACCGUAACAUGCUUUUUGCUGGAUGGACAUGUUACUUAGAAGUUGGAUUAUUGUUCUUUGCCAGUUUUUGCUUUGAUAGGCAUUCCUGGACUCAUUGUAUGAUCUCUAGAAUUUCAGCUCCCACUUCUGAAAUAUGGUAUAUUAUCAGAACAACCUCAAGGAUAA
rnacentral:lncRNA from 1 species